rnacentral:rRNA from 1 species
UACGGGGGGGGCAAGCGUUGUUCGGAAUUACUGGGCGUAAAGGGCUUGUAGGUGGCCAACUAAGUCAGACGUGAAAUCCCUCGGCUUAACCGGGGAACUGCGUCUGAUACUGGAUGGCUGGAGUGUGGGAGAGGGAUGCGGAAUUCCAGGUGUAGCGGUGAAAUGCGUAGAUAUUGGGAAGAACACCGGUGGCGAAGGCGGCGACCUGGUCCUUGACUGACGCUGAGGCGCGAAAGCGUGGGGAGCAAACAGG